rnacentral:rRNA from 1 species
GAUGAACGCUGGCGGCGUGCUUAACACAUGCAAGUCGAACGGAAAGGCUCCUGCUUGCUGGGGUACUCGAGUGGCGAACGGGUGAGUAACACGUGGGUGACCUGCCCUGCACUUCGGGAUAAGCCUGGGAAACUGGGUCUAAUACCGGAUAGGACGAUGGCUUGGAUGCCAUUGUGGAAAGUUUUUUGGUGUGGGAUGAGUUCGCGGCCUAUCUGCUUGUUGGUGGGGUAAUGGCCUACCAAGGCGUCGGCGGGUAGCCGGCCUGAGAGGGUGUACGGCCACAUGGGGACUGAGGUACGGCCCAGACUCCUACGGGGGGCAGCAGUGGGGAAUAUUGCACAAUGGGCGCAAGCCUGAUGCAGCGACGCCGCGUGGGGGAUGACGGCCUUCGGGUUGUAAACUCCUUUCGCUAGGGACGAAGCGCAAGUGACGGUACCUGGAGAAGAAGCACCGGCUAACUACGUG